GAUGAACGCUGGCGGCGUGCUUAACACAUGCAAGUCGAACGAAGCAGUACUGUGUGAAGAGAUUAGCUUGCUAAGAUCAGAACUUUGUAUUGACUGAGUGGCGGACGGGUGAGUAACGCGUGGGCAACCUGCCUUACACAGGGGGAUAACAGCUAGAAAUGGCUGCUAAUACCGCAUAAGACCUCAGUACCGCACGGUAGAGGGGUAAAAACUCCGGUGGUGUAAGAUGGGCCCGCGUCUGAUUAGGUAGUUGGUAGGGUAACGGCCUACCAAGCCGACGAUCAGUAGCCGACCUGAGAGGGUGACCGGCCACAUUGGGACUGAGACACGGCCCAAACUCCUACGGGAGGCAGCAGUGGGGAAUAUUGCACAAUGGGGGAAACCCUGAUGCAGCGACGCCGCGUGAAGGAUGAAGUAUUUCGGUAUGUAAACUUCUAUCAGCAGGGAAGAAGAUGACGGUACCUGACUAAGAAGCCCCGGCUAACUACGUGCCAGCAGCCGCGGUAAUACGUAGGGGGCAAGCGUUAUCCGGAUUUACUGGGUGUAAAGGGAGCGUAGACGGCAUGGCAAGUCUGAAGUGAAAGCCCGGGGCUCAACCCCGGGACUGCUUUGGAAACUGUCAGGCUAGAGUGUCGGAGAGGCAAGUGGAAUUCCUAGUGUAGCGGUGAAAUGCGUAGAUAUUAGGAGGAACACCAGUGGCGAAGGCGGCUUGCUGGA
rnacentral:rRNA from 1 species